UCUCUUACUUCCAAAUCAGUGAAAUUGACCUUCCCGUGAAGAGGCGGGAAUGCACAAAUAAGACGAGAAGACCCUAUGGAGCUUUUUAACUAACCAACCCAAGAGAAUAGAUUUAACCAUUAAGGAAUAACAACAAUCUCCAUGAGUUGGUAGUUUCGGUUGGGGUGACCUCGGAGAAUUAAAAAUCCUCCGAGCGAUUUUAAAGACUAGACCCACAAGUCAAAUCACUCUAUCGCUCAUUGAUCCAAAACUUGAUCAACGGAACAAGUUACCCUAGGGAUAACAGCGCAAUCCUAUUCAAGAGUCCAUAUCGACAAUAGGGUUUACGACCUCGAUGUUGGAUCAGGACAUCCUGAUGGUGCAACCGCUAUCAAAGGUUCGUUUGUUCAACGAUUAAAGUCCUACGUGAUCUGAGUUCAGACCGGAGUAAUCCAGGUCGGUUUCUAUCUAUUACGUAUUUCUCCCAGUACGAAAGGACAAGAGAAAUAAGGCCAACUUUAAAUCAAGCGCCUUAAGACAACCAAUGAUAACAUCUCAACUGACAACACAAACCUUGCCCUAGUACAGGGCUU
rnacentral:rRNA from 1 species